rnacentral:rRNA from 1 species
UACGAAGGGGGCUAGCGUUGCUCGGAAUCACUGGGCGUAAAGGGUGCGUAGGCGGGUAUUUAAGUCAGAGGUGAAAUCCUGGAGCUCAACUCCAGAACUGCCUUUGAUACUGAGUAUCUUGAGUACGGGAGAGGUGAGUGGAACUGCGAGUGUAGAGGUGAAAUUCGUAGAUAUUCGCAAGAACACCAGUGGCGAAGGCGGCUCACUGGCCCGGUACUGACGCUGAGGUGCGAAAGCGUGGGGAGCAAACAGG